rnacentral:rRNA from 1 species
GAGUUUGAUCAUGGCUCAGAUUGAACGCUGGCGGCAGGCCUAACACAUGCAAGUCGAACGGUAACAGGAAGCAGCUUGCUGCUUUGCUGACGAGUGGCGGACGGGUGAGUAAUGUCUGGGAAACUGCCUGAUGGAGGGGGAUAACUACUGGAAACGGUAGCUAAUACCGCAUAACGUCGCAAGACCAAAGAGGGGGACCUUCGGGCCUCUUGCCAUCGGAUGUGCCCAGAUGGGAUUAGCUUGUUGGUGGGGUAACGGCUCACCAAGGCGACGAUCCCUAGCUGGUCUGAGAGGAUGACCAGCCACACUGGAACUGAGACACGGUCCAGACUCCUACGGGAGGCAGCAGUGGGGAAUAUUGCACAAUGGGCGCAAGCCUGAUGCAGCCAUGCCGCGUGUAUGAAGAAGGCCUUCGGGUUGUAAAGUACUUUCAGCGGGGAGGAAGGGAGUAAAGUUAAUACCUUUGCUCAUUGACGUUACCCGCAGAAGAAGCACCGGCUAACUCCGUGCCAGCAGCCGCGGUAAUACGGAGGGUGCAAGCGUUAAUCGGAAUUACUGGGCGUAAAGCGCACGCAGGCGGUUUGUUAAGUCAGAUGUGAAAUCCCCGGGCUCAACCUGGGAACUGCAUCUGAUACUGGCAAGCUUGAGUCUCGUAGAGGGGGGUAGAAUUCCAGGUGUAGCGGUGAAAUGCGUAGAGAUCUGGAGGAAUACCGGUGGCGAAGGCGGCCCCCUGGACGAAGACUGACGCUCAGGUGCGAAAGCGUGGGGAGCAAACAGGAUUAGAUACCCUGGUAGUCCACGCCGUAAACGAUGUCGACUUGGAGGUUGUGCCCUUGAGGCGUGGCUUCCGGAGCUAACGCGUUAAGUCGACCGCCUGGGGAGUACGGCCGCAAGGUUAAAACUCAAAUGAAUUGACGGGGGCCCGCACAAGCGGUGGAGCAUGUGGUUUAAUUCGAUGCAACGCGAAGAACCUUACCUGGUCUUGACAUCCACAGAACUUUCCAGAGAUGGAUUGGUGCCUUCGGGAACUGUGAGACAGGUGCUGCAUGGCUGUCGUCAGCUCGUGUUGUGAAAUGUUGGGUUAAGUCCCGCAACGAGCGCAACCCUUAUCCUUUGUUGCCAGCGGUCCGGCCGGGAACUCAAAGGAGACUGCCAGUGAUAAACUGGAGGAAGGUGGGGAUGACGUCAAGUCAUCAUGGCCCUUACGACCAGGGCUACACACGUGCUACAAUGGCGCAUACAAAGAGAAGCGACCUCGCGAGAGCAAGCGGACCUCAUAAAGUGCGUCGUAGUCCGGAUUGGAGUCUGCAACUCGACUCCAUGAAGUCGGAAUCGCUAGUAAUCGUGGAUCAGAAUGCCACGGUGAAUACGUUCCCGGGCCUUGUACACACCGCCCGUCACACCAUGGGAGUGGGUUGCAAAAGAAGUAGGUAGCUUAACCUUCGGGAGGGCGCUUACCACUUUGUGAUUCAUGACUGGGGUGAAGUCGUAACAAGGUAACCGUAGGGGAACCUGCGGUUGGAUCACC